rnacentral:rRNA from 1 species
CCUACGGGAGGCAGCAGUGAGGAAUAUUGGUCAAUGGGCGCGAGCCUGAACCAGCCAAGUAGCGUGAAGGAUGACUGCCCUACGGGUUGUAAACUUCUUUUAUAAAGGAAUAAAGUGAGGCACGUGUGCCUUUUUGUAUGUAUUUUAUGAAUAAGGAUCGGCUAACUCGGUGUCAGCAGCCGCGGUAAUACGGAGGAUCCGAGGGUUAUCGGGAUUGAUUUGGUUUAAAGGGAGCGUAGAUGGGUUGUUAAGUCAGUUGUGAAAGUUUGUGGCUAAACCGUACAAUUGCAAUUGAUACUGGCAGCCUUGAGUACAGUUGAGGUAGGCGGAAUUCGUGGUGUAGCGGUGAAAUGCUUAGAUAUCACGGAGAACUCCGAUUGCGAAGGCAGCCUACUAAACUGCCACUGACAUUGAUGCUCGAAAGUGUGGGUAUCAAACAGGAUUAGAUACCCUUGUAUC